rnacentral:rRNA from 1 species
GACGAACGCUGGCGGCGUGCUUAACACAUGCAAGUCGAACGGAGUGGCGAACGGGUGAGUAACACGUGGGUGAUCUGCCUUUCGCUUCGGGAUAAGCUUUGGAAAUUGGGGCUAAUACCGGAUAGCGCAAGAUGAGCUUGUGGCCUAUCAGCUUGUUGGUGGGGUAAGGGCCUACCCAGGCGUCGACGGGUAGCCGGCCUGAGAGGGUGAACGGCCACAUUGGGACGAAGAUACGGCCCAGACUCCUACCGGAGGCAGCAGUGGGGAAUAUUGCACAAUGGGCGGAGGCCUGAUGGAGCGACGCCGCGUGGGGGAUGAAGGACUUCGGGUUGUAAACUCCUUUCGACAGGGAGGCGGUACCUGUAUAAGAAGCACCGGCUAACUACGUGCCAGCAGCCGCGGUAAUAC